rnacentral:rRNA from 1 species
UAAAAGCCGGUCUCAGUUCGGAUCGGGGUCUGCAACUCGACCCCGUGAAGUCGGAGUCGCUAGUAAUCGCAGAUCAGCAACGCUGCGGUGAAUACGUUCCCGGGCCUUGUACACACCGCCCGUCACGUCAUGAAAGUCGGUAACACCCGAAGCCAGUGGCCUAACCCUCGGGAGGGAGCUGUCAAAGGUGGGAUCGGCGAUUGGGACGAAGUCGUAACAAGGUAGCCGUACCGGAAGGUGCGGCUGGAUCACCUCCUUUCUAAGGAGCACCACGAAAACGCCCC